AUUGACCGCUGGCGGCAGGCCUAACACAUGCAAUUCGAGCGGAGCGGCGGACGGGUAAGUAAUGCAUAGGAAUCUGCCUGGUAGUGGGGGAUAACGUCCGGAAACGGGCGCUAAUACCGCAUACUCUCAGAUGAGCCUAGAUCGGAUAGCUAGUUGGUGGGGUAAAGACCUACCAAGUCGACGAUCCGUACCUGGUCUGAGAGGAUGAUCAGUCACACUGGAACUGUGACACGGUCCAGACUCCUACGGGAGGCAGCAGUGGGUAAUAUGGGACAAUGGGCGAAAGCCUGAGUCAGCCAUGCCGAGGGUGUGAAGAAGGUCUUCGGAUUGGAAAGCACUUUAAGUUGGGAGGCGUUACCAACAGAAUAAGCACCGGCUAAAUUCGUGCCAGCAGCCGCGGUAAUAC
rnacentral:rRNA from 1 species